rnacentral:rRNA from 1 species
GACAACGCUGGCGGCGUGCUUAACACAUGCAAGUCGAACGGACGAGUGAGAUAAGUUUACUUAACUCACAAGUUAGUGGCGGACGGGUGAGUAACACGUGGAUAAUCUACCUGCAACACCGGGAUAACGCUGUGAAAACGGUGCUAAUACCGGAUACGUUCCCUUGUGCGCAUGUAUGAGGGAAGAAAGCUCAGGCGGUUGCAGAUGAGUCCGCGGCUGAUUAGCUAGUUGGUGAGGUAAAGGCUCACCGAGGCGAUGAUCAGUAGCCGGCCUGAGAGGGUGAACGGCCACACUGGGACUGAGACACGGCCCAGACUCCUACGGGAGGCAGCAGUGGGGAAUCUUCCGCAAUGGGCGCAAGCCUGACGGAGCAACGCCGCGUGGGUGAAGAAGGCCUUCGGGUUUGUAAAGCCCUGUCUUAUGGGAAGAAGUCAGUGACGGUACCAUAGGAGGAAGCCACGGCUAACUACGUG